ensembl:lncRNA
CAGGGAUUUAGCUCAGUGGGGUCACGCCUGCCUCAUAAGCGAAAGGUCCUGAGUUUGAUCCUCGGUCCAAAAAAAAAAAAAAAAUUCAUUGCUCGUUCUCUUAUUGAGUUUUAGGAGUUCUUUCCAUAUUCUGGCCAUGUCCUUUGUGAGAUAGAAGCUAUACAAUUAUUUUCUCCCUCUAUGUGACUAGUCUUUUUAUUCUCUUAAGGGUGUCUUUCAGAGGGCGAAGCUUUUAGUUUUGAUGAAGUCAAGUUCCUAAUUCUUUCUUCUAUCAAUCUUUGAUGUUUCUGAGACUCAUUGCCCUGUGAGAGGUCACAAAGGUUUUCUCCCGUGUUUUCUUCUAAUGAUUGUAGAUGUUGGCACUGGGGGUGAUGUUGGGUCCACUCUGUGUUUGUACCCUUGUGAGGCUGAGGCUGAAGAGAAUGAUUUGUCCCAGCACCGUUCCCUGAAACGAAGGUGUUUCCUCCAUGGAUCUGUGUCUUCACCUCCAUCAAGUACUCCAUUUUCCAAGUAGAGAUGGGAACCUGGAGGACAAGGAUGGCGGGGCUUCUGGAAGGUCUGAGGCACCCAUCCAGGGUGUAUAUCCCCACCCAGAGUUGGCAGAGGGCAGCUGGCCUGUCAGCAGCUCCAGGUGUGAGCAGGGUUGGGGAACCCCUGCCCCCCAAUGACUGCACCUGUGUUCUCCAGCUGCACAAGUGGAGUGCUCAGGGCGGGUCCCUACCUCCUGAAGGCCUUGUCCACCUGGCUCUUGUUCUGGAGGCUUCCCUGUCAGGGAGUUGGGGUGGGAACUGCGGCCCUGGACCCCCUUGCCAGCCCUGGCUCACAAAUCUUGAGUGUUGGCCUAAGAGAGGUUUCCAAUAAUGUUAGACAUUUACAUGGCUUCCAGAAACUGAGUAAAUGUUUACAUUUCAGACUAAGUCACUGAUAAAUAUUCCUAAAAAGAGUCUAAAGGAAUAAACAUUUUUGUGGAUAUUUGUGCCUGUUUUUAAAUUGAGAUGUAAUUUCCAAUAGGAAAAGGCACAAAUCUGGGUAUGCAGCUGCACGACUGUCCCCGUUAGCACUUGCCUCCACCUCCUGGACUGUGCUUGCCCAUCCACUUCUCGUAAGCGGAGCCACAAGGAUGUGCUCUUCCUGACGUAUUGCGCACACUGAAGGAGAGCUGUGUGGGGACCUGCUGUGUGGCUGUGCCACAUUCUCCUCCAUACUGAUGAGCAGGGCUGACCAGGUUUUGGGCUGUCAUAAACAACUCUCCCAUGAGCACUCGUGAACCGGCCUUGUAUGGCUGUAAUACUCAUGCCUGCAGCACAUGCAUGGCCCACUGUGCACAGCAGAGUGGAUGCUCAGCUCUGGCAGGUUCUCUACGGUUUUUGAAGUGACUGGAUCCUUCUGGCCCCAUCAGCACAGGCCACUGUUGCUGGGUUCCACAUCUCCCCAGCAUAUGGUACUGAUGGUUGGUCUAAUUGUAAUCAUUUCAGUAGGUGCUCAGUGGAAACUAAAGAGACUCCUCUGUAUUUUAAAGAUGAUUGUGAGUUGUUUGGAUGACCUCCUCAUUAUCCAAAGAGGUUAAGAAGUAAAGGGAUCUUGCAAUUACCUUGGACCCACGUGGAUGAUCGAGCCAAAUCACUGCAUCACAAGCUGUAUUGCUUUAUGCAUAGACAUUUAGGGUUGUGUUGUCUUCUUGGAAGAAUGUCCUUGUGAUAGUUAAGUGGUGGUUGUGUCAAGUUGAAUAAGAAACACUCAACUACAUUGGUUCAGCACAGUUCUGUGUGUCAUCAGAAUAGAAUGAAAGGGAAACGAAGGAGGAAGGCUCACGUCUGUGCCUUCGGAGGAGCUCCAGUCUUCACUUUCACCUUGGACGUUGUCUCCUGGCUUCCAGCACAAACUCAUCAGCCUUCCAUCACAGACCCUUUGGCCUCCUCAUAUAAACUGGCACGGGAUACUACACUAAGCUCCAGGCCUUAACUGGAUCCUUCAGAUCUCUAGUGCACAGAUAGUCCUCUUGUGUGCUUCCAACCUGACGCUGUGAGUGGCCAUUGUAAGCCCAUCUUGUAAAUUCUUAUAUAUCUGUAUAUCUUGCAUUAAAUCUGUUUCUCUAGUAAGCACUGAUAUAAGCCCUAUUAUCAUUAAAUCAUGCCUUUCUGUCACUGGUGUUUUUGAAGUCUACUUUAUUGGAGGCCAGAAGAGCUGGCUACUUUCUCCUUUGAUUAAUAGUAUAUCUUUCCCAUCCCUCUACUUUCAGCAGCCCUGCAUGAUAUUUAAAGUGAGUUUCUGUGGACAAUGCAUAGAAGAAGUAAACUGAUCUCUAUUUGCAAAUGACA